GACGAACGCUGGCGGCGUGCUUAACACAUGCAAGUCGAACGGAAAGGCCCUUUCGGGGGUACUCGAGUGGCGAACGGGUGAGUAACACGUGGGUGAUCUGCCCUGCACUUUGGGAUAAGCCUGGGAAACUGGGUCUAAUACCGAAUACACCCUGCUGGUCGCAUGGCCUGGGUGGGGGAAAAGCUUUUGCGGUGUGGGAGUCGGGCCCGCGGCCUAUCA
rnacentral:rRNA from 1 species